rnacentral:rRNA from 1 species
UAGCCGUAAACGAUACUCGCUAGGUGUCGGCCACGGUGCGACCGUUGUCGGUGCCGUAGGGAAGCCGUGAGGCGAGCCACCUGGGAAGUACGGCCGCAAGGCUGAAACUUAAAGGAAUUGGCGGGGGAGGCACAACAACGGGUGGAGCUUGCGGUUUAAUUGGAUUCAACGCCGGAAAUCUUACCGGGACCGACAGCAACAUGAAGGCCAGGCUGAAGACUUUGCCGGAUUAGCUGAGAGGAGGUGCAUGGCGUAGUCGUGU